rnacentral:lncRNA from 1 species
UUAUCGAUUUCCUUUGUACACCCCUAGUGCAUACACCACAUGCAUAAAUUGGUAAAUUAUUCGCCGGUCGGUUGGAUAUAUAUAUAUAUAUAUAUAUAUAUAUUAUUUUUAAGAGCAAAUAAAAAUAUACAUUUUUCAAUUAUUUAAUUGACAUUCAAUGGCUCAAACGGAUAAGACCAACAAGUUUGAGAGCACCUUGUAAGCAUUUAAAUUUUAUCAAAUUUAAAUUUAUAGAAUAAUUUGGACCAUAUAAAAUUCAAGACAUUAGUCCAAACAAAUAUUGUGGCUAAUAAAUUGGGUUAAUUAUGUAUGUGUCGGGAUAAUCCAUUUAAUUAGACUACAAAUUAAAGGAUAAGCUCACUCCAUUAGCACAAGGUCCAAAUUGCUAUUAGCCCAUCUUAAAGCUCAGGCUCAUGCCACGUGUCAAGUGAUGUGGCAAUCCAAGUCAAAAGAACGAGCCAACAAAAUCAUGCCAUGUGUCAAGAGAUGUGGUCAUCCAAGACAAGUAAAUGAUCCAACUAAAUCAUGACAUUUGUCAAGUAAUGUGGCAAUCCAAGUCAAAUAAAUGAGCCAAUUAAAUCAUGCCGAGUGUCUGGAUGGUAUUGGUCAUUUCAAACGGACCAAUCAAAUCGCGGAGCCACACCACUCCCUACAACUAUAAAUAGAGGUCUUCAUAAAACUAAAAGACACAAGAAUUAAGAACAAGAAGCAAGCAGAGAACUCGUGGAUCAAACACCGCGCAUUUCUCUACAAGCUACAAGUCCAAGCACUCAUGCUACAAGUUCAAGUUCAAGAACGAAGCCAAAUCAAAUACCCAGGCGUUCAAGAUCAAAUUACUUGUUCGUGAUCAAACACAAAUUCAAGUUCAAGGAGGAGAUUCAAGACCAAACUUUACAAGCCCUUGAAUCAAAU